rnacentral:rRNA from 1 species
AACGAACGCUGGCGGCGCGUCUUAAGCAUGCAAGUCGAGCGGUAUGGAGAAGCUUGCUUCUCCAGAGAGCGGCGGACUGGUGAGUAACACGUGGGUGACCUACCCUUAGGAUGGGGAUAGCCACUAGAAAUAGUGGGUAAUACCGAAUGUGGUUGCGAGACUGUGGUCUUGCAAAGAAAGGAGCUACGGCUCCGCCUGAGGAUGGGCCCGCGUCCCAUUAGCUAGUUGGUGAGGUAACGGCCCACCAAGGCGAUGAUGGGUAGCCGGCCUGAGAGGGUGAACGGCCACACUGGGACUGAGAUACGGCCCAGACUCCUACGGGAGGCAGCAGCUAAGAAUAUUCCGCAAUGGACGAAAGUCUGACGGAGCGACGCCGCGUGGAUGAAGAAGGCCGAAAGGUUGUAAAAUCCUUUUGUCGAUGAAGAAUAAAGCAUGGGAGGGAAUGCCCGUGUGAUGACGUUAGUCGGCGAAUAAGCCCGGCUAAUACGUGCCAGCAGCCG